rnacentral:rRNA from 1 species
UACGUAGGGUGCGAGCGUUAAUCGGAAUUACUGGGCGUAAAGCGUGCGCAGGCGGCGCGUUAAGACAGGUGUGAAAGCCCCGAGCUUAACUUGGGAAUUGCGCUUGUGACUGGCGUGCUGGAGUGUGGCAGAGGGAGGUGGAAUUCCACGUGUAGCAGUGAAAUGCGUAGAUAUCGGGAGGAACACCGGUGGCGAAGGCGGCGACCUGGGUAGAUACUGACGCUGAGGUGCGAAAGCGUGGGGAGCAAACAGG